CAGCCGCCACGGUAAUACGGAGGGUGCAAGCGUUAUCCGGAUUCACUGGGUUUAAAGGGUGCGUAGGCGGAUCUGUAAGUCAGUGGUGAAAUCUCCAGGCUUAACCUGGAAACUGCCGUUGAUACUAUAGGUCUUGAAUUUUGUGGAGGUUAGCGGAAUAUGUCAUGUAGCGGUGAAAUGCACAGAUAUGACAUAGAACACCAAUUGCGAAGGCAGCUGGCUACACAACUAUUGACGCUGAGGCACGAAAGCGUGGGGAUCAAACAGGAUUAGAUACCCCGGUAGUCCCUGUCUCUUAUAA
rnacentral:rRNA from 1 species